AUACGUAGGGAGCGAGCGUUGUCCGGAAUUACUGGGUGUAAAGGGAGCGUAGGCGGGAGUGCAAGUCAGAUGUGAAAUACAUGGGCUCAACCCAUGGGCUGCAUUUGAAACUGCAUUUCUUGAGUGAAGUAGAGGUAAGCGGAAUUCCUGGUGUAGCGGUGAAAUGCGUAGAUAUCAGGAGGAACACCGGUGGCGAAGGCGGCUUACUGGGCUUGUACGGACGCCGAGGCUCGAAAGCGUGGGUAGCAAACAGGAUUAGAUACCCUGGUAGUCCACGCUGUAAACGAUGAUUACUAGGUGUGGGGGGACUGACCCCUUCCGUGCCGCAGUUAACACAAUAAGUAAUCCACCUGGGGAGUACGGCCGCAAGGUUGAAACUCAAAGGAAUUGACGGGU
rnacentral:rRNA from 1 species